UACGGGGGGGGCAAGCGUUGUUCGGAAUUACUGGGCGUAAAGGGCUCGUAGGCGGUCAACUAAGUCAGACGUGAAAUCCCUCGGCUUAACCGGGGAACUGCGUCUGAUACUGGAUGGCUUGAGUUUGGGAGAGGGAUGCGGAAUUCCAGGUGUAGCGGUGAAAUGCGUAGAUAUCUGGAGGAACACCGGUGGCGAAGGCGGCAUCCUGGACCAACACUGACGCUGAGACGCGAAAGCGUGGGGAGCGAACCGG
rnacentral:rRNA from 1 species